GAGUUGGAGCGGAGAUCCUCUCGGACCACAUCUCCAGGGCGCUGAACACCUUCUGACUGGUGCUUCCUGGGCAUCAAUCCUGAAAGGAGCUCAAAGACCAAGAAGCGGACAACAAUGAACCCUCAUGUAUGCUCUGGUCAGUAGGCUUGUCAGAAGCAACUGCAGGUAAAUCGUCAUUUAACUCUAUAUCGUCAACAGGUAAAUAACUCAAGGUAGGUACACUAUCAAUUGUAGAAUGUUCUGGCCCAGAUAAAUGGACAGACAAGUUGCCAAUUGGAGAGUUAUCAGAGUCCUGAACUACAGAUAUUGAGGGAACAUCAUUUUGUGACCCUUUCUCAGCUUCAUAAACUUCAACAAACCUAGUAUUUGUACUUAGAGGAUCUCGGUACAACAGUUCUAAUCAGCUAUCAUCAUCAUCAGAGUCAGGAUUUGACUCAUCUUGUACCUCAUUACUCGGAUUUCUACGAGUUGGAGGACGUUUCCGGGACCUGGAAAAAUCAACUACAUCUUCAGGUAACUGCAACAAUUCACAAGAGUUCUCAAAGGACCAUCUUUACCUUCUGGCUUUACAGUGUACACCGGAAGAUUUCCUGCCCUGCUCACAACAACAUACACAAGUGAUUCCCACCUGUCAGCCAAUUUGUGUUUACCUCUCAGUCGUAUAUUCCUAACUAAGACCCUGUCUCCAAUUUCUAGCGUAGAUUCAACUACAUGCUGGUCAAAACGAGCUUUAUUCCUCUCUCCAACUUUAGCAGCAUUUCUCAUUGCUAAGUCAUAAGUUCCCUGUAACCUAGACUUCAAAUCAUGCACAUACUGUGAAUGUGUCUUAAACUGCUCUUUGUUCUGAGGAAUAUCAAAAGCCGAGUCUAUAGGCAACCGCGGCUGCCUGCCAAACAUUAAUUCAUAUGGGGUAAACCCAGGAGAAUCAUGUUUGGUACAGUUAUACACAUGUACGAGGGGUUUCACAAAACUACUCCGAUGCACCUUAUCAAUCUCUUUAAGCGUACCAAGCAUACUGAGGAGAGUACGAUUAAAUCGUUCAACCGGAUUUCCCCUAGGGUGAUAAGGAAAUUCUCCCAAAGAACUUUAGCCACAGUAAGUGACCUCUGAUUAGGAGUAGGAACAGCAACAGCAUACUUGGUAAAGAAAUCAGUGAUAACUAGCACAUCCUUGGUAUUUUUGGAAUCUGGCUCAAUAGAUAGAUAGUCCAUGCACACCAGUUCAAGAGGACGAGUCACUUGGAUAUUCACCAAAGGAGCAGUUUUCUCAGGUAAGGACUUAUGACACACACAUCUGGGACAUGUUCUGAUUUUUCUCUCCACAUCCGCAACCAUUCUAGGCCAAUAGAACCUUGACCUUGCAAGAUCCACGGUGCGCUCUAUCCCCAAAUGUCCCAUUUCAUCAUGUAGACACAUCAGAACCAUAUUACGUAACGAUUCAGGAAGAACCAACUGGUAUUGGAUAUUCUCUCCCUCCUGUCUUUUGCGCUAGAGGAUUCCAUUACGCAACUCCAGCUUCUUUAACUCCCUCAACAGCAAUGGGAGGGUAGGAAGUUCUUUUCUUACAAGAGGUGGAAUUGCCUCCCCAGUCUCUAACUGGUGAAUUAUCUCACGGAUGAUGGGGUCAGAUCUUUGCUUUUCCAUCAAAUCAUUCUCCCCAAAAGAUGGGACUUCAGGAAAAUUGUCACAACCAUCAUCCUGAUCAAAACUGGAUGGAAUUGCAUCAACAUGCAUGGCAAGGGAUUCAACUAAAGAAAAAGGAGGAUCACCACAAUCAGCUAAGUUGUGAUGGACAACGUGCUUAUCACAUAUGGCCUGAAUAACCUCUGAAGGAAGAGUGAAAACAUCAUCACGCACGUGAUUCAAAUUGAAUUGACGGAUUCGCUCUAGCUCCUUUUGAGAUGUGACAUCGUUCCUCCAUCCACCUUGAGGAAGUCUGGACAGACUGUCAGCAUCCAGAUUCUGUUUUCCAGCUCUGUACAGUAGUUUGAAAGAAAAAGUUGAAAGAGCUGAGAUCCAUCUAUAGCUCGUAGAAUCCAGCUUUGCUGAGGUCAAUAUGUAUGUCAAAGGAUUACUGUCAGUGACAACAGUGAACUGGUUACCAUACAGAUAAUCGCUAAACUUCUCAGUGACUGCCCACUUAAACAUGGAUUAUUACAAUAAAGCUUCUCACUGAAAUAGACAGAAUCUGUAAAUCCUUCCUGAUGAAUUACAUGUCGCUCUGAAUCCCUUCACCAUACAGGAUGUUAAAAUAAUUUGCUUGACGUAGACAGAGUUUAAGACACAAAAUAUAUUUUAUAAUAUACAACUGAGCAGAAUAGUUUGUAACUGUUUCUAAAUUGUGUAGAGUUCAAACUGAAAGGUGUUAAAGACGUUUGUACUUCACAUAUUAAAAGCUGUUUUUCACACUGUGUCUUCCUGCAUCUCAGUCAACAGGAAAUAAUGACCACUGGAGGGUCUCAUGCUGGUCUUUGUCCUUGUUUGCUCUCAUUUUUAAUACGACUCGUAGUGAAAAAUGGAAGUAAUGAACUUAUGGGGAAAUGAAAUUGAUGAGGUUUGUAGUUUGAGCCUUUAAAAUCCCCAGUCUGCUGUAUAUCCUCUUUAUGCUUCCUUUGUCAGAGCUAUAAAUAAUGUCAGAUCAUUAGAAGUCAUGCCUUUGCAGUGUUUUAACCGGGUUUUUGUGUAUGGGAAGAGAAACUUUGUUUAUUCCUACAACAGAGCGGACAGGAGCACAGACUCUGGGAAAGAGCAGAAGAGGAGGAUUGUGUACAGCCAUGGACAUAGUAGAUGAACAUUGCACACUGGACAUUGACUGUUUAAGGUUUAGGUGCAGGAUGUUUGUUUCUUCUGCCAGAUUGACAACAGUGUGAUACACAGACCUCUGUGAGCUAAAGCUAAUCCAACAGCCAGUAAACAGGACACGAGAAUUUAAGACACUGGACCAAACAAAGUCAACACAAACUCUGACUGUUUCCUAAAAACUGAUCCCGGUGGAGAUGCUGUUGGUCUGUAGGACCUGUAGAUUCUACCUCAAUGCUGCAAGAUUGUCUGCUACACUGACUGGGAUCAGUUUCACAUGGAAAUUUGAGACACAAUGACCUCUACUCAUUGAAUUACUGUCAUUUUUCUAAGCAUAAGUCACAUCUAAACAACAGCAUGCAGAAACUGCUUAUGGAAGGAGAGGAAACUUAAAUAAAUGCAAACACAAUAUAAGGACUUUAGAACAGCUCAUGUGGAACAGAAUUAAGGCACCGAAUGACCACAAGAACAACCAGCGCUCUGUAACCUAGUAACAUCUUUACAGAAACAAUAACAGAAACAACCCGAGGCUUUAACUCCAAUUUAUUUCAGGUAGUUGAAUUUAUUAAAUGUUGGAAACAUUGAAAUUAUCAAUGUAUUUUUUUUAAUAUAUUGUAUUUACAUAUAAUGUAUUAUGAGGAUUGCUUUUUUACAGUUUGGUUUAUUUAUUUAAAAAUAUAUGCACAUAAAAUUCACAACAAUAUGCAGAUAAACACAGACUAAUAAUAUAAAAAUAAUUAUAUUCAGAAAAUGUAACAAUAUUAAAUGUUUAAAAAAAUAACUUUACACAUUACAAUGCAAAAGCUAUUAAAAUUUAACUUACAGCAAAGUCUCUACUGUCUGGUGCUUUAAAUUAGAAAUAUAAUUUCUCUAUUAUAUUUUAACAUGAGCGUAAACGUCUUCAUGGGUAUUUUUGGCUCUGGAUGUUCUGGAGGAUGAAGGUUUUUUAGCAAAACUAACAGCUGCAUAGUUCAAGACAUCAUCAUCAGCAUCAUCAG